GAUGCAACGCGAAAAACCUUACCUACCCUUGACAUGUCUGGAAUCCUGAAGAGAUUUGGGAGUGCUCGAAAGAGAGCCAGAACACAGGUGCUGCAUGGCCGUCGUCAGCUCGUGUCGUGAGAUGUUGGGUUAAGUCCCGCAACGAGCGCAACCCUUGUCAUUAGUUGCUACGAAAGGGCACUCUAAUGAGACUGCCGGUGACAAACCGGAGGAAGGUGGGGAUGACGUCAGGUCAUCAUGGCCCUUAUGGGUAGGGCUACACACGUCAUACAAUGGCCGGGACAGAGGGCUGCCAACCCGCGAGGGGGAGCUAAUCCCAGAAACCCGGUCGUAGUCCGGAUCGUAGUCUGCAACUCGACUGCGUGAAGUCGGAAUCGCUAGUAAUCGCGGAUCAGCUUGCCGCGGUGAAUACGUUCCCGGGUCUUGUACACACCGCCCGUCACACCAUGGGAGCGGGUUCUGCCAGAAGUAGUUAGCCUAACCGCAAGGGGGGC
rnacentral:rRNA from 1 species